rnacentral:rRNA from 1 species
GACGAACGCUGGCGGCGUGCUUAACACAUGCAAGUCGAACGGAAAGGCCCUGCUUUUGUGGGGUGCUCGAGUGGCGAACGGGUGAGUAACACGUGAGUAACCUGCCCUUGAAUUUGGGAUAACUUCAGGAAAAUGGGGCUAAUACCGGAUAGGAGCUCCUGCUGCAUGGUGGGGGUUGGUAAGUUUCGGCGGUUGGGGAUGGACUCGCGGCUUAUCAGCUUGUUGGUGGGGUAGUGGCUUACCAAGGCUUUGACGGGUAGCCGGCCUGAGAGGGUGACCGGCCACAUUGGGACUGAGAUACGGCCCAGAAUCCUACGGGAGGCAGCAGUGGGGAAUAUUACACAAUAGGCGGAAGCCAGAUGCAGCAACGCCGCGUGCGGAAUAACGGCCUUCGAGUUAUAAACCUCUUUCGCCUGUGACGAAGCGAGAGUGACGGUAAUGGGUAAAGAAGCACCGGCUAACUACGUG